rnacentral:rRNA from 1 species
CGGGGGGGCAAGCGUUGUUCGGAAUUACUGGGCGUAAAGGGCGCGUAGGCGGCCUGCUAAGUCGGACGUGAAAUCCCCCGGCUCAACCGGGGAACUGCGUCCGAUACUGGUGGGCUCGAAUCCGGGAGAGGGAUGUGGAAUUCCAGGUGUAGCGGUGAAAUGCGUAGAUAUCUGGAGGAACACCGGUGGCGAAGGCGGCAUCCUGGACCGGCAUUGACGCUGAGGCGCGAAAGCCAGGGGAGCGAACGGGAUUAGAUACCCCGGUAGUCCUGGCCCUAAACGAUGAGUGCUUGGUGUGGCGGGUAUCGAUCCCUGCCGUGCCGAAGCUAACGCAUUAAGCACUCCGCCUGGGGAGUACGGUCGCAAGGCUG